GACGUGCUAAUCUGCGAUAAGCGUCGGUAAGGUGAUAUGAACCGUUAUAACCGGCGAUUUCCGAAUGGGGAAACCCAGUGUGUUUCGACACACUAUCAUUAACUGAAUCCAUAGGUUAAUGAGGCGAACCGGGGGAACUGAAACAUCUAAGUACCCCGAGGAAAAGAAAUCAACCGAGAUUCCCCCAGUAGCGGCGAGCGAACGGGGAGCAGCCCAGAGCCUGAAUCAGUGUGUGUGUUAGUGGAAGCGUCUGGAAAGGCGUGCGAUACAGGGUGACAGCCCCGUACACAAAAAUGCACAUGCUGUGAGCUCGAUGAGUAGGGCGGGACACGUGGUAUCCUGUCUGAAUAUGGGGGGACCAUCCUCCAAGGCUAAAUACUCCUGACUGACCGAUAGUGAACCAGUACCGUGAGGGAAAGGCGAAAAGAACCCCGGCGAGGGGAGUGAAAAAGAACCUGAAACCGUGUACGUACAAGCAGUGGGAGCACGCUUAGGCGUGUGACUGCGUACCUUUUGUAUAAUGGGUCAGCGACUUAUAUUCUGUAGCAAGGUUAACCGAAUAGGGGAGCCGAAGGGAAACCGAGUCUUAACUGGGCGUUAAGUUGCAGGGUAUAGACCCGAAACCCGGUGAUCUAGCCAUGGGCAGGUUGAAGGUUGGGUAACACUAACUGGAGGACCGAACCGACUAAUGUUGAAAAAUUAGCGGAUGACUUGUGGCUGGGGGUGAAAGGCCAAUCAAACCGGGAGAUAGCUGGUUCUCCCCGAAAGCUAUUUAGGUAGCGCCUCGUGAAUUCAUCUCCGGGGGUAGAGCACUGUUUCGGCAAGGGGGUCAUCCCGACUUACCAACCCGAUGCAAACUGCGAAUACCGGAGAAUGUUAUCACGGGAGACACACGGCGGGUGCUAACGUCCGUCGUGAAGAGGGAAACAACCCAGACCGCCAGCUAAGGUCCCAAAGUCAUGGUUAAGUGGGAAACGAUGUGGGAAGGCCCAGACAGCCAGGAUGUUGGCUUAGAAGCAGCCAUCAUUUAAAGAAAGCGUAAUAGCUCACUGGUCGAGUCGGCCUGCGCGGAAGAUGUAACGGGGCUAAACCAUGCACCGAAGCUGCGGCAGCGACGCUGAUGCGUUGUUGGGUAGGGGAGCGUUCUGUAAGCCUGCGAAGGUGUGCUGUGAGGCAUGCUGGAGGUAUCAGAAGUGCGAAUGCUGACAUAAGUAACGAUAAAGCGGGUGAAAAGCCCGCUCGCCGGAAGACCAAGGGUUCCUGUCCAACGUUAAUCGGGGCAGGGUGAGUCGACCCCUAAGGCGAGGCCGAAAGGCGUAGUCGAUGGGAAACAGGUUAAUAUUCCUGUACUUGGUGUUACUGCGAAGGGGGGACGGAGAAGGCUAUGUUGGCCGGGCGACGGUUGUCCCGGUUUAAGCGUGUAGGCUGGUUUUCCAGGCAAAUCCGGAAAAUCAAGGCUGAGGCGUGAUGACGAGGCACUACGGUGCUGAAGCAACAAAUGCCCUGCUUCCAGGAAAAGCCUCUAAGCAUCAGGUAACAUCAAAUCGUACCCCAAACCGACACAGGUGGUCAGGUAGAGAAUACCAAGGCGCUUGAGAGAACUCGGGUGAAGGAACUAGGCAAAAUGGUGCCGUAACUUCGGGAGAAGGCACGCUGAUAUGUAGGUGAAGCGACUUGCUCGUGGAGCUGAAAUCAGUCGAAGAUACCAGCUGGCUGCAACUGUUUAUUAAAAACACAGCACUGUGCAAACACGAAAGUGGACGUAUACGGUGUGACGCCUGCCCGGUGCCGGAAGGUUAAUUGAUGGGGUCAGCGCAAGCGAAGCUCUUGAUCGAAGCCCCGGUAAACGGCGGCCGUAACUAUAACGGUCCUAAGGUAGCGAAAUUCCUUGUCGGGUAAGUUCCGACCUGCACGAAUGGCGUAAUGAUGGCCAGGCUGUCUCCACCCGAGACUCAGUGAAAUUGAACUCGCUGUGAAGAUGCAGUGUACCCGCGGCAAGACGGAAAGACCCCGUGAACCUUUACUAUAGCUUGACACUGAACAUUGAGCCUUGAUGUGUAGGAUAGGUGGGAGGCUUUGAAGUGUGGACGCCAGUCUGCAUGGAGCCGACCUUGAAAUACCACCCUUUAAUGUUUGAUGUUCUAACGUGGACCCGUGAUCCGGGUUGCGGACAGUGUCUGGUGGGUAGUUUGACUGGGGCGGUCUCCUCCUAAAGAGUAACGGAG
rnacentral:rRNA from 1 species